CCUACGGGUGGCAGCAGUAGGGAAUCUUUCACAAUGGGCGAAAGCCUGAUGGAGCAACGCCGCGUGCAGGAUGAAGGCCUUCGGGUUGUAAACUGCUUUUAUAAGCGAGAAAUAUGAUGGUAACUUAUGAAUAAGGAUCGGCUAACUACGUGCCAGCAGCCGCGGUAAUACGUAGGGGGCAAGCGUUAUCCGGAUUCACUGGGUGUAAAGGGAGCGUAGACGGCGAGACAAGUCUGGAGUGAAAGGCCGGGGCCCAACCCCGGGACUGCUCUGGAAACUGCCUGGCUGGAGUACAGGAGAGGUAAGUGGAAUUCCUAGUGUAGCGGUGAAAUGCGUAGAUAUUAGGAGGAACACCAGUGGCGAAGGCGGCUUACUGGACUGUAACUGACGUUGAGGCUCGAAAGCGUGGGGAGCAAACAGGAUUAGAUACCCCGGUAGUC
rnacentral:rRNA from 1 species